rnacentral:lncRNA from 1 species
AAAAAAACCAAAAAAACUCUUUCAACUCUCUCCCUCCCCUCCAAGUCUGGCCUUGGGCUCCGGUCGCCAGACCGUCGGUCAUCGGCAAUGGCGCCGCCGUCUAUGGUGGCCGAAAAAUAAAAAAAAAGGUUCCUUUUUUAAGCCCUUCGCCUUCUCGAGCCUAGAUCUGAGGGUAAAAAUACUCGAAUAACCCACCAAAAUUUAAAAAAGAGAGAAGAAAAAAAACAAAAAGAAAAUAAAUCAAGAGACCCAAAACGACAGGUAAAAUUCUGAUUUUUAGUUGUUGUUUUUUUCAUUUU